rnacentral:rRNA from 1 species
AUACGUAGGGGGCGAGCGUUGUCCGGAAUGAUUGGGCGUAAAGGGCGCGUAAGCGGCCUGUUAAGUCUGGAGUGAAAGUCCUGUUUUCAAGAUGGGAAUUGCUUUGGAUACUGAUGGGCUUGAGUGCAGGAGAGGUUAUCGGAAUUCCCGGUGUAGCGGUGAAAUGCGUAGAGAUUGGGAGGAACACCAGUGGCGAAGGCGACUUACUGGACUGUAACUGACGCUGAGGCGCGAAAGUGUGGGGAGCAAACAGGAUUAGAUACCCUGGUAGUCCACACUGUAAACGAUGAAUGCUAGGUGUAGGGGGUAUCGACCCCUUCUGUGCCGCAGUCAACACAAUAAGCAUUCCGCCUGGGGAGUACGGCCGCAAGGUUGAAACUCAAAUGAAUCGACGGGG